rnacentral:ncRNA from 2 species
UACUUUUGUUCUGUUUCAGGUGCCAUUGGCCCAACAGGGAAUCCCGUGAAAAUCGGGAACGAGCCCAUCGCUGUAAUCGGGGACUAACACUGCAAUUAUGUCACUGGAAGGCAUGGAACGGUGAGGAAUAACUCCUUAUCUCCAUGUUCCGGGAAGACGCGGUGAAGCGGAUGAUCCGAAAGUCAGAAGACCUGCCUGAAAAAAAGGAAGAUG